GCUUAACACAUGCAAGUCGAGGGGCAGCAUGGUCUUAGCUUGCUAAGGCCGAUGGCGACCGGCGCACGGGUGAGUAACACAUAUCCAACCUGCCGUCUACUCUUGGACAGCCUUCUGAAAGGAAGAUUAAUACAAGAUGGCAUCAUGAGUCCGCAUGUUCACAUGAUUAAAGGUAUUCCGGUAGACGAUGGGGAUGCGUUCCAUUAGAUAGUAGGCGGGGUAACGGCCCACCUAGUCUUCGAUGGAUAGGGGUUCUGAGAGGAAGGUCCCCCACAUUGGAACUGAGACACGGUCCAAACUCCUACGGGAGGCAGCAGUGAGGAAUAUUGGUCAAUGGGCGAGAGCCUGAACCAGCCAAGUAGCGUGAAGGAUGACUGCCCUAUGGGUUGUAAACUUCUUUUAUAAAGGAAUAAAGUCGGGUAUGGAUACCCGUUUGCAUGUACUUUAUGAAUAAGGAUCGGCUAACUCCGUGCCAGCAGCCGCGGUAAUACGGAGGAUCCGAGCGUUAUCCGGAUUUAUUGGGUUUAAAGGGAGCGUAGAUGGAUGUUUAAGUCAGUUGUGAAAGUUUGCGGCUCAACCGUAAAAUUGCAGUUGAUACUGGAUAUCUUGAGUGCAGUUGAGGCAGGCGGAAUUCGUGGUGUAGCGGUGAAAUGCUUAGAUAUCACGAAGAACUCCGAUUGCGAAGGCAGCCUGCUAAGCUGCAACUGACAUUGAGGCUCGAAAGUGUGGGUAUCAAACAGGAUUAGAUACCCUGGUAGUCCACACGGUAAACGAUGAAUACUCGCUGUUUGCGAUAUACAGCAAGCGGCCAAGCGAAAGCGUUAAGUAUUCCACCUGGGGAGUACGCCGGCAACGGUGAAACCCAAAGGAAUUGACGGGGGCCCGCACAAGCGGAGGAACAUGUGGUUUAAUUCGAUGAUACGCGAGGAACCUUACCCGGGCUUAAAUUGCAGAUGAAUUACGGUGAAAGCCGUAAGCCGCAAGGCAUCUGUGAAGGUGCUGCAUGGUUGUCGUCAGCUCGUGCCGUGAGGUGUCGGCUUAAGUGCCAUAACGAGCGCAACCCUUGUUGUCAGUUACUAACAGGUUCCGCUGAGGACUCUGACAAGACUGCCAUCGUAAGAUGUGAGGAAGGUGGGGAUGACGUCAAAUCAGCACGGCCCUUACGUCCGGGGCUACACACGUGUUACAAUGGGGGGUACAGAGGGCCGCUACCACGCGAGUGGAUGCCAAUCCCCAAAACCUCUCUCAGUUCGGACUGGAGUCUGCAACCCGACUCCACGAAGCUGGAUUCGCUAGUAAUCGCGCAUCAGCCACGGCGCGGUGAAUACGUUCCCGGGCCUUGUACACACCGCCCGUCAAGCCAUGGGAGCCGGGGGUACCUGAAGUGCGUAACCGCGAGGAGCGCCCUAGGGUAAAACUGGUGACUGGGGCUAAGUA
rnacentral:rRNA from 1 species